UAAAAUUAAAAUUAAGUUAAGAAAAUUAAAUUUAAUAAAAUAUUAUUAAAAUUAAUAGUUUAGAAUUUAGAAAUUAAAGAAUUAAAAAUAUGUAUAACUGUAAAGGAUAUAAUGAAAUAAAUUAAGUUUAAUAAAAUAAAAGUAGAUAAAUAAAUUGUACCUUUUGUAUCAGGGUUUAUUAAAUAAAUAUUAAAAUUAAGUAAUCUCGAAAUAGUGUGAGCUAAAUAAUAUUGAAAUUAUAGUAGUAAAUAUAUUAAAUAAUAUUAUUUAGAAAUGAAAAAUUAGUCGUACAUUAUGAUAUCUAGUUUCUUUAGAAAUGAAUUUAAUUCACUAAUAAUAAAAAUUAGAUAAAUAAUAAUAGAAAUUUUAAAUUAUUAGAAAAAGAAUAAGGGAUAAGCUUUGUUUUAAAUUAAAACGUAAUUUUAUAAUUUUAAAAGUAGGUUUAAAAAUAGCCAUCAAUAAAAUGUUAUAAUUAAUAAUAAUUAAAAAUAAUUUUAAGCAGUUUAAAUUAUUAUAAAGAAAUUUAUAAAAAUAGAAUUUAUAAUAUUAUAAUGAUAAAAUUAUUAUUUUUAUAAAAUUUAAAUGAUAAAAAAUAAAAUUUAUAAAAGGAAUUCGGCAAAUAAAUUACUCACCUGUUUAUCAAAAACACCGCCUUUUGAUUAGUAUAGAAGGUUUAAUCUGCCCACUGUAAAUAAAGGGCCGCGGUAUAUUGACCGUGCAAAGGUAGCAUAAUCAUUAGUCUUUUAAUUGAAGGCUAGAAUGAAUGAUUGGAUGAGGUAAAAGCUGUCUCUUAUAAAUAAAUAAGAAAUUAAAAAUUUAGUCAAAAUGCUAAAAUAAUUUUAAAAGACGAGAAGACCCUAUAGAUUUUUAUAAAGCUAAUUAAUUAUGAUAGAUGAAUUAAAUAAUUAAGAUGAUUUUAUUUUAUUGGGGCGAUAAAGAAAUAAAAGAACUUUCUUAUAAUAAAACAUUUUUAAUGAAUAAGAGAUCCAUAUAAAUGAUAAAAAGAAUAAAUUACCUUAGGGAUAACAGCAUAAUCUUCUUUAAGAGUUCUAAUCAAUGAGAAGGGUUGUGACCUCGAUGUUGGAUUAAGAGUAAAUUUAGGUGUAGCUGUUUAAAUUUUAAGUCUGUUCGACUUAUAAAAUCUUACAUGAUCUGAGUUCAAACCGGUGUGAGCCAGGUUGGUUUCUAUCUUUAAAUAAAUAAAUAAUAUAGUACGAAAGGACCUAUUAUAAAAGCUAAGCUUAAAAUUUAGAAUAAUAAU
rnacentral:rRNA from 1 species